AAGAAAAUAGUUUAUUAUCGUUUAUUAUUGCCACUUGUUGCACUAGAGGUGAUAGAUUGAUGUUGCACUGAUGUGUCUUGGCCUCAAACCCUAGAAAAAUAAUAUUACUUGUCACUGAAAAAUGAGUAAAUAAAAAGAAACGAAUUAUUCCUCAUGCUUUUACAAUGUCUAUCUGCUAUUUGUGAUUUAUUAAGAUACAUUUUGAGUAUUAACAUUAGUUUUUGUUACUAUGAAGGCAAAGGUGAUGGUACAAAUGCAGAAUCUGGAGCACAUGAAGAAGAUUUUCUCAUCCAGGAUGAGAUUUCUAAAUCUUGUCUAGUGAACGUGUAGCGUGAGGAAGAGACAAUUUUGCAUGAGAGAGACGGCUAUAAACUGGAAGAGGGACGUCUUAUACGUGAAUUGAAAA